rnacentral:rRNA from 1 species
GUGGGGAAUCUUGCGCAAUGGGCGAAAGCCUGACGCAGCCAUGCCGCGUGAAUGAUGAAGGUCUUAGGAUUGUAAAAUUCUUUCACCGGGGACGAUAAUGACGGUACCCGGAGAAGAAGCCCCGGCUAACUUCGUGCCAGCAGCCGCGGUAAUACGAAGGGGGCUAGCGUUGCUCGGAAUUACUGGGCGUAAAGGGAGCGUAGGCAGAUAGUUCAGUCAGAGGUGAAAGCCCAGGGCUCAACCUUGGAAUUGCCUUUGAUACUGGCUGUCUUGAGUAUGGGAGAGGUUAGCGGAACUCCGAGUGUAGAGGUGAAAUUCGUAGAUAUUCGGAAGAACACCAGUGGCGAAGGCGGCUAACUGGCCCAUUACUGACGCUGAGGCUCGAAAGCGUGGGGAGCAAACAGGAUUAGAAACCCUUGUAGUCC